rnacentral:rRNA from 1 species
AGUGAACGCUGGCGGUAGGCCUAACACAUGCAAGUCGAACGGCAGCUUAGUAAGUGCUUGCUCUUACGGGUGGCGAGCGGCGGACGGGUGAGGAAUAUAUCGGAAUCUACUUUUUCGUGGGGGAUAAUGUAGGGAAACUUACGCUAAUACAGCAUAUGACCUACGGGUGAAAGCAGGGGAUCUUCGGACCUUGUGCGAUUGAAUGAGCCGACGUCGGCUUAGAUAGUUGGCGGGGUAGAGGCACACCAAGGCGACGAUCCUUAGCUGGUAUGAGAGGGUGAUCAGCCACACUGGAAGUGAGACACGGUCCAGACUCCUACAGUAGGCAGCAGUCGGGAAUAUUAGGCAAGGGGGGCAAGCCGGAUCCAGCCAUACCGCCUGAAGGAAGAAGACCUUCUGGUUGUAAAGCCCUGUUGUUGUGAGAGAAAUGCAGCAGUUUAAUACCCCGCUUUACUGACGGUACCCAAAGAAUAAGCACCGGCUAACUUCGUG